AGAGUUUGAUCCUGGCUCAGGAUGAACGCUGGCGGCGUGCCUAACACAUGCAAGUCGCACGUCCUUCUGGCUUCGGCUGGAAGGGAGUGGCGGACGGGUGAGGAAUACGUGGGUACCUGCCCCACAGUGAGGAAUACCAGCGGGAAACCGCUGACAAUACCGCAUGAGCUUCGCAAGAAGGAAAGCCUCCGUAAGGAGGC
rnacentral:rRNA from 1 species